rnacentral:sRNA from 2 species
ACGGCAGAUCCGCCGGAUGCCCGCACGAGAGCCGGGGACCCAGACACACCCAGGGGUUCAUUCCGCGGACGGGGUGCACGAAGAUCGCGAGCGAUCGUCGGCACGGAGGACGCGGGAGGGAAAAUUCUGUUUCCUCACCCGACAGCUAACUCGGCAGACGCACAGAGAACUUGG